AGGAGUUCCCUUGUCUUCUGGAUCUGGUUCAAAAUUACAAGGCAACGAAGUUGAACAUUAGCAGUUGUAAACUCAAAAAAUUUGAUUAGCUGUUCAAGGACAGUAAUAAAAUAUGAGGGUUGUCCAUAAAAUAAAGUUCCCAACAAAUUUUCCCAAUGAAAAACAUGUUUAUUGGCAUCGAAUAAUGCAUGUUUGGAAAGCUUAGACUUCCCUUUAUUUUUCGAUCUAAUCGCCGUUUAGAUCAAAGAUCAAUGCAUUUUUGCAUGCGCUGUACCAUCUUCUUUAUGCCUGAGUCGUAGAACUCUGCCGCCGCACAGCGAAGAUACUUUAAAACCUCUUCUUUCAGCUCUUCGUCGGUAGUGAAAUACGUCCCUCCCAAGUGUUUCUUUAAUUCAGGGAAGAGAGAGUAAUCUGGGGGGGGGGCAAGUCUGGGCUGUAAGAGGUGUGUGUGACAAUAUUCCAUCCAAAUCUGUUGAUGAGAUCAGUUGUGACACGGGCGGUGUGCGGACGAACGUUGUCCUGAUAGAGACGCACUCCAUUUGUGAGCAUACCUCUCCUCUUGUUUUGGAUUACGCUCCGAGGUUCUUUAACGUCUGUCAGUAGCGAUCCACUUUAAUUGUAGUGCCAGUAGGCAGGAAUUUGCUCAAUAACCCUUUCUUGUCUCAAAAGACACUCGCCGUCACUUUGCCGGCAGACAGAAUUUGUUUUAAUUUCUUCGGCGAGCCUGGAUGUUUCCACUGAUGGGAUUGUUCUUUUGUUUCCUGUGUCAUGUAGUCAACCCAGGUCUCGUCCCCAGUGACGACAGAGUCCAAAAAUUCCCGCCAUUGUUUUUGUAGGCAUGAAGAAAUUCGUGGGCUGCUUCAACACGUUGCUGUUUGUUGUCAUCCGUCAGCAUUUUCAGGACCCACCUUACACAAACCUUGUCAUAUCCUAAGUGGUCUCUCAAAAUGUUGUGAAUGCAGGACUUACUGACAUCAGGGAUCAUCUCGCUCGGAACCGUCACCCUUCGAUCAAUCAGCAUUGCUUCUUCCACCUUUGCAAUCGCUUUGUCCGAAAACGAUGGUCGGCCAGAACGUUGUUGAACUGUACAUCCAUCAAGGAUUUUAAUUUUUUUUAAAAAAAAGUAAAAUUCAAAUGUUUAAUUUUUAAAAAAAAUAAAUAUACAUUUUUAUUUCACUUUUUUCACUCGAUGUUUUUGCCAAAUUUCAAGUCUCUAUUUCUUUGGAAUUAUAAUGAGAAAAAAAAUUGUAAUUUGACAUUGACAUAAACCAUAUAGUAAAGGCCACAUAUUAUGCUAUUAAAAAUAUAGUACAGAUAAAAAGGGUAUCAAGGAUGCUGAAUUUUAUAGAAUGGAGGAUAAACGAGUAGCCGACUACUUUGUAGUUGCAGGUUUUCUGGACAAUGCUUUACCUCUCAAAGAGUUCUCUCGUGGUGGAAACAGUCCCAAAUCUACACAAUCUUUGCUGCCCAUCACUGAUGUGGCCGU